CCCGUACUGUCUCCAUCUUUCACCAGGCUGUUUCACAUCCUUGACAAUACUGAAUGCACUGUUUCUUCGUUUUUCUGUGGGGUUUAAGUUGAAAAAGACAGCAAAAUCGACUCACAACUAAUCCUAAGCAUUGAAAGGCUACUUUCUGAAGAACCUAAAAUGGCUCAAUACGUUCGAGUCACAGAGGACGAGUCGCUGCCAGCAAUCGAAGUGCCAACCGAGGCAGAUGGAACAAUUUUACUGUCGACUCUUCAAGCGCAGUUUCCCGGUGCCUGUGGUUUGAGGUACAAGAACCCAGAGACUGACAGCUGGAGAGGAAUUCGUUUGUUGGAAAACAUGCUUUGCCCACCCGCUGAAGAAGGAUGGGGUGGACAUUUGUACGUUGUGGUGCAGAAAAAUGACAGCACUAGUAAAAGGAAGAUUGAAGAAUCUCCCAACACCAAAGCAGAACCAGAAACAAAAAUGACAAAGAUUUCUUCUCCAGAGGAUGGCUUAGGAGAUCUCAUUGUACUUGGACUUCCUUGGAAAACUACAGCAGAAGACAUGAAGGAAUAUUUUCAAAAGUUUGGUGAAAUAGUCAUGGCAGAGGUAAAAAUGGAUUAUGGUAGUAGUAAGUCUAGAGGAUUUGGGUUUGUGAACUUCAAGGACCCUGAAGUGGCAAAAACAGUGUUAUCCCAGGUUCACCGCAUUCAAGGCCGACUUUGUGAAGUGAGAUUGCCACGUUGUAAACAAGAAUUUAUGCCAAAGAAAUUGUUUGUUGGACGUCUUCCUGAUUCAACAAAUGAGGGGGAUCUUUUGGAUUACUUUAGUAAGUUUGGCGAGGUGAUUGAUGUCUACAUUCCAAAACCCAUGCGUGGAAUUUCAUUUGUCACAUUUGCUUCUGGAGAAGUUGCCAAGAAAGUUCAGUCUCAGAAUCAUCGCUUGGGAUCAAAUCUACUAAAUGUGAACUUUGCAGAGCCUAAAGCAGCAAAAAAUGUCCACAUGCCCUCUCCAGCAGAUAUGCAGUCUAUGUCCCAAAACUCCUUGCCAGGCUGGGGUGGUAUGGGAUUUCCCGAAAUGUAUGGAAUGGGUUCCUGGAACAAUGCUGGACGUCAGAAUAUGCCAUACAAUGCAUCAGCAGCUUACAAUAGUAUGAUGCAGAGCAUGAUGAACAUGGGGAACCCAUCAGGGGCUAGUAACAUGAUGGCCAACAGACAUGGAAGGCGAUAAAUAUCCAGGGCAUGCCAGUGGACUCCAACAAGUGGUGAAGUUUCCAGAGUUAAGCUGUUCUCUGACAUAAGAACAGUGCUAGGCACACAGGUUACAGAAAAUAAAACCACAGGAAGAUGUUACUGUCACCAAACAGGAAGUUUAGAGCAAUCUCUUGAAUGGUGUUUGUGGAGAUCCAGUUUCUUCUUGGUUUAUACUGUUCUUUCAAGCCCCAGAACCACACAGAUGGCUCAAACAUCUGCCUAACUUCAUAUUAGGCGUAUUGUUACAGACAAGUGUUGUCUUGCAGAAACCAACAAGAAAUCCGUACUCUUAAACCCUUUUUUGCCCUCAAGUGACCAGUAGACAAUUUCUCCUCACAAUACCAGUGCAUUGUGUAACAAAGAAGGUUGAGGGUGAAGAAAAAUGUUAUUUUAAGGAUAUUUUUAUUAAAUAAAUUCCCUGUAAAAAAACUAGUCAAAGAUAUGGCGGACUGUCAGAAUAAUUUAUAUUAUGAUCUUGUUAGUUUGAGGGUGUAAGUAGACUUGGUGCCUAAGGACUCUAAAAAUUCUGAGUUGUUCACUCACAAGAGUUUUUAUUAUUAUUAUUAUUAUUAUUAUUAUUAUUAUUAUUAUUAUAGUUAGCAAAGGCUAGUCGA
rnacentral:misc_RNA from 1 species